AUGCCUCUCCGAAGCCUUGUCUGUGUGUUGGUGGCCUUGGCCUUCUCUGAUUUCUCUACUGCCCAAAAAGUGACUCAAGUACAACCAGCUAUAAACAAGCAGGAAGGGGAACAGGUCAUCAUGGACUGUUCCUAUGAGACAAGUAUGAGCUUUUACCAACUUUAUUGGUACAAACAACGUCCUAGUGGAGACAUGAUAUUCCUUAUUCGUCAAGUUUCAUCUUCUCAUCACAAUGAAAGCAGUGGCCGCUAUUCUGUCAUCUUCCAGAAGUCAGCCAAGUCCAUCAGCCUCAUCAUUUCAGCCUCACAGGUGGGAGAUUCAAUAAACUAUUUCUGUGCCCUCGUGGAACCAGCUCACAGUGUUUGA